AGAGUUUGAUCCUGGCUCAGGAUGAACGCUAGCGGCAGGCUUAACACAUGCAAGUCGAGGGGCAGCAUGUCCAGCAAUGGAUGAUGGCGACCGGCGGAAGGGUGCGUAACGCGUGAGCAACAUGCCCUAUACAGGGAGAUACACCAGGGAAACUUGGUCUAAUAUCCCAUAGCAUUCAUUGAAGGCAUCUUUAAUGAAUUAAAGCUUCGGUGGUAUAGGAUUGGCUCGCGUGACAUUAGCCAGAUGGUGAGGUAACGGCUCACCAUAGCAAUGAUGUCUAGGGGUUUUGAGAGGAAGGCCCCCCACACUGGGACUGAGACACGGCCCAGACUCCUACGGGAGGCAGCAGUGAGGAAUAUUGGACAAUGGAUGGAAAUCUGAUCCAGCCAUGCCGCGUGCAGGAAGACGGCCUUAUGGGUUGUAAACUGCUUUUAUACGGGAGCAAUAAGGGUUACGAGUAAUCCGAUGAGAGUACUGUAUGAAUAAGGAUCGGCUAACUCCGUGCCAGCAGCCGCGGUAAUACGGAGGAUCCUAGCGUUAUUCGGAUUUAUUGGGUUUAAAGGGAGCGUAGGCGGGGGGUCAAGUCAGCUGUGAAAUACGUACGCUUAACGUUCGUCUUGCAGUUGAAACUGGUUUUCUUGAGUGCGUAUGAGGCAGGCGGAAUUCGUGGUGUAGCGGUGAAAUGCAUAGAUAUACCACAGAACACCGAUUGCGAAGGCAGCUUACUAAACUGUCACUGACGCUGAUGCACGAAAGCGUGGGUAUCAAACAGGAUUAGAUACCCUGGUAGUCCACGCUGUAAACGAUGAUUACUGGUUGUUUGCGAUACACUGCAAGUGACUGAGCGAAAGCAUUAAGUAAUCCACCUGGGGAGUACGUCGGCAACGAUGAAACUCAAAGGAAUUGACGGGGGCCCGCACAAGCGGAGGAACAUGUGGUUUAAUUCGAUGAUACGCGAGGAACCUUACCUGGGUUUAAAUGGGGAGUGACAGGCUUGGAAACAGGCCCUUCUUCGGACACUCUUCAAGGUGCUGCAUGGUUGUCGUCAGCUCGUGCCGUGAGGUGUCGGGUUAAGUCCCAUAACGAGCGCAACCCCUAUCGAUAGUUACCAGCACGUUACGGUGGGGACUCUAUCGAGACUGCCGGUGUAAACCGUGAGGAGGGUGGGGAUGACGUCAAAUCAGCACGGCCCUUACAUCCAGGGCUACACACGUGUUACAAUGGCCGGUACAAAGGGCAGCUACACAGCGAUGUGAUGCUAAUCUCCAAAUCCGGUCUCAGUUCGGAUCGAAGUCUGCAACCCGACUUCGUGAAGCUGGAUUCGCUAGUAAUCGCGCAUCAGCCAUGGCGCGGUGAAUACGUUCCCGGGCCUUGUACACACCGCCCGUCAAG
rnacentral:rRNA from 1 species